rnacentral:rRNA from 1 species
UGGGGAAUCUUGGACAAUGGGGGCAACCCUGAUCCAGCGACGCCGCGUGGGUGAAGAAGGCCUUAGGGUUGUAAACCCCUUUCACCGGGGAGGAUGAUGACGUUACCCGGAGAAGAAGCACCGGCUAACUCCGUGCCAGCAGCCGCGGUAAGACGGAGGGCGCUAGCGUUGUUCGGAAUCACUGGGCGUAAAGGGCGCGUAGGCGGCUGCUUAAGUCGAGGGUGAAAGCCCGGGGCUCAACCUCGGAACGGCCUUCGAGACUGGGCGGCUAGAGACCGGAAGAGGAGGGUGGAAUACCCAGUGUAGAGGUGAAAUUCGUAGAUAUUGGGUGGAACACCAGUGGCGAAAGCGGCUCUCUGGUCCGGAUCUGACGCUGAGGCGCGAAAGCGUGGGGAGCAAACAGGAUUAGAUACCCCCGUAGUCC